GACGAACCGUACGAACGUUAUUCGGAAUCACUGGGCUUAAAGGGUGCGUAGGCGGCGCGACAAGUUGGGUGUGAAAUCCCUCGGCUCAACCGAGGAACUGCGCCCAAAACUGUCGUGCUCGAGGGAGACAGAGGUGAGCGGAACUUAGGGUGGAGCGGUGAAAUGCGUUGAUAUCAGAAGGAACGCCGGCGGCGAAAGCGGCGCACUGGACCUUUUCUGACGCUGAGGCGCGAAAGCUAGGGGAGCAAACGGG
rnacentral:rRNA from 1 species